rnacentral:rRNA from 1 species
GACGAACCGUCCAAACGUUAUUCGGAAUCACUGGGCUUACAGAGUUCGUAGGCGGUCUGGAAAGUUGGGUGUGAAAUCCCCCGGCUCAACCGAGGAACUGCGCUUGAAACUACCAGACUCGAGGGGGAUAGAGGAAAGCGGAACUGAUGGUGGAGCGGUGAAAUGCGUUGAUAUCAAGAGGAACACCUGAGGCGAAGGCGGGUUGCUAGGCUGACACUGACGCUGAGGCGCGAAAGCUAGGGUAGCAAACGGG